rnacentral:rRNA from 1 species
CAAUAGCGUAUAUUAAAGUUGUUGCGGUUAAAAGCUCGUAGUUGGAUUUCUGCUUGGGGCCACCGGUCCACCCUUUGGGUGAGUAUCUGGUGUGCCUUGGGCAUCCUCCUGGGGAACGUUGCUGCACUUGACUGUGUGGUGCGGAAUCUAGGACUUUUACUUUGAGGAAAUUAGAGUGUUCACUGCAGGCAUACGCCUUGAAUACAUUAGCAUGGAAUAAUAAGAUAGGACCUCGGUUCUAUUUUGUCGGUUUCUAGAGCUGAGGUAAUGAUUAACAGGGAUAGUUGGGGGCAUUCGUAUUUAACUGUCAGAGGUGAAAUUCUUGGAUUUGUUAAAGACGAACUACUGCGAAAGCAUUUGCCAAGGAUGUUUUCAUUGAUCAAGAACGAAAGUUAGGGGAUCGAAGACGAUUAGAUACCGU